rnacentral:rRNA from 1 species
UAGGGAAUAUUGCAAAAUGGGCGAAAGCCCGAUGCAGCAACGCCGCGUGGGCGAUGAAGGCCUUCGGGUCGUAAAGCCCUUUUUGAGGGGAUGGGGAAGGACAGUACCCUCAGAAUAAGCCUCGGCUAACUACGUGCCAGCAGCCGCGGUAAAACGUAGGAGGCGAGCGUUAUCCGGAUUGACUGGGCGUAAAGCGCGUGCAGGCGGAUUGGAGAGUUGGAUGGGAAAGCUCCCGGCUUAACUGGGAGAGGUCGUUCAAUACUUCCAGUCUUGAGUGCAGUAGAGGGAAGUGGAAUUCCGGGUGUAGUGGUGAAAUGCGUAGAUAUCCGGAGGAACACCAGUGGCGAAAGCGGCUUCCUGGACUGUAACUGACGCUCAGACGCGAAAGCUAGGGUAGCAAACG